rnacentral:lncRNA from 1 species
CCUCCUCCCUCAGCGCAGCUUUGCAGGCGCUGGGGCUCCCAAAGGACGGAGCUUUGAAUCCACCUGGGAGGCUUAAGAGAAAGUGCUGAGUCCCCCAUGCCCUACCCCUGAGACUGCUGACAGGCAUCGCUGAGGGCUGCAGCUUUGGAAUCGGGCAUCUUCUGAGGAAGAGAAAGGCACCACAGCCACGGCACAGAAGACUAGGGGAGCCAGCUUCAGCUUUUGCCAAGUGUUUGGUUCAUCUGACGCUUGGUGAAGUCACAUGCAUCUGCUGCCCUGACAUCCAGGAGAAGGAACCAUCUGGCUCAAGAAUCCAUUACAGAAGAGGCCGUCAGCACCCGUCACUUGUGCCUCCCCAUGUCCAGCUGAGUUUCUUUCUCUCUGCUCAACUCCAAAGUGUUGAUGAGUCAAUCGAUGCGGCCCUUGCCACUGCGUCUCACUGGGAAUUCCGGUGAGGUGGCCGUCUGCCUGCGUGCGUGCCAGCUAGCUCCUCGAUCAAUGCACACUUCUUUAAAGUGCUGCAGGAUGCUGCUGGAAAGGAUUUGGUCUGGCUCAUUUGGCUGUUGAAAAAGGCCACGCCUGCUUCAAGUUCCUCCAGUACUCGGGGGUGAGUUGAAGAGCCAGUGGGAAAGAAAGCUGUACAAGAGGGAACCCACGUGAAUGCAAGCCUCAAGAGCCUGAAGACAUCUAGGGGAGCACUCAGCCUUCCAUCUGGCAAAGAAUGGGGCUCCUCAGUUAAUUCUAUGUAGGCCUCGGAGGACAGGGUACAUAUGGAUUCUGCAACCAAGCCCACCUGGAUGACACGGUCCAUCUGCUUGAUGGAAGGCUGCUGAUGGAGCCAUUGGUGGAUCUCCAGGGGACCAGAGUGAAGAUGACAUUAAGACCAUGGAUGGCAGAGUACAAUUUCUGAAGGCUCUGUAGAGUUGGUAGAUCAACAUCCUACCUGGCUGUCCUGUUUAUAACAGGAAAUAUUCAAUGUCCAUAUUUUAAAACCAGUUGGAAUCCAGGUUGUCUGUUGCUUGUAGUUGAAAACAUCCAAACUAGGCAGUGGUGGAUACCUUGGGCAUAAGCUGCCAUCCUGAAAUGUGGCCAGGCUGAGCUGGUGGACAUUAUAAAAUCCACAAGUUGGGCCAUCAGGUGUGGGAAGGGAGUCAGAAUCGCAGAAUGUCUGAAAAGAAAUGGCUUGUGUUGCCCACAGUAAAGCCAGUAGGGUUCAUCACAUAUCUUGCUGGGAGGUCUUGGUGGGCAUUGUCUGGUAGGGAAAGAGUGUGGACGUUGGAUGCCACACACCUGCGUGGGCAGAUUGCUAGAUAAGUCAAGAUUGAUCAACAAUACCAGUUCCACUUGGGUGACAUGCUUUAAUGAUUGUCAUGAGCACACGACUGAUGGAUGUUACCCUCAAUGGUGCUUUAAAAUGGUUUCUUCUGUAAAAGCCAGCAAAAUGUAGACAGUGAGAGAGCAACCUCUGGCACCUUCAGGUACCUGGAAGCACAGGGCAAGAGAAAAUGCACCUGGGGUAGGAGGAGAAGGAAGGAGUGACCCAGUUCCACCUACUCACCCACCUCAAAGUCAUCAGUCAAAACCUUAGACUUCUAGCCCCAGGUCCACCAAAAGUAAAAUCUCUUGGGAUAGGGCAAGUGUUCUCAGCAACUUUUUUUUUUUAAGCUAGUCUUUGAACUCUUGCGUUGAGGACUCAGCAGUGGUGGGAGCAGCAGGAAGAUGACAGGAUUCUGUCCAUGUAAUCCAGUUGAGGGAUUAACUGUGUGAGUGUGCACGUGUAGGUGUGUGUAUGUGCACAUACUUGUGUGCAUGUUUGUGUGUGCACACGUGUGCAGUGUUCUUAUGUGCAUGUGUGUUGUACAUGUGAGUGCACAUGUGUGUGGUGACGGAGACAAGUAGGGCUGAAGUCGAAACAGCAUAAGCCUGGAGAUUUGGAGAAGCAACAAGGGCAGUCCCAUUCUGCUCGGAAAUGAAGAGCACAGGUGGCUGGGGGUGUUGGGAGUGGGAGACGGCAGCAGAAGAUCCCCUUGUAGGGAAAGGGCCUCAUAACCCCCCACACAGUUUCUGGGACUGCUAGCAAUUCCCCUUGCAGGAGAGAGAUUGUCUGCCUCCCUCUAUGGAUGAGGACAUGGAAGGCAGGACUUUAGUGAGCAAGUCCCUCAGCUCACGAGCGAGACUCAGGAAGGGAGGGGAGAGUCUGGUGGGAGACAUAGUGUUUCUCACUGGCCUGUCUCCCCACGAGCUGUUGCUGCGCCCUGGGCCACUCCUUCCUCUGUGCCUACCUGAAUUUCUUGUCUUUCGAGACUCCAGGUCGUGGCUACCUUAUCAAUCUUCCUGCUCCUUCCCAAGGCCCAGGUUGGAGCCCCUCUCUGUGUUCAGGAGGACUGGGGGCUCCCCCUACCCUCGCCCCAUGUCUUUGUAUUGCUAUCCCAACUUUAAUGCUGGGCUUUUCUGGAGACGUUGGGAUCCUUGAGGACAGAGCUGUGUCUUAUCCACUGUUAUGCUGGGUCCCUUACUAAACAGGUACUGAAUGCACUAAUCUCAGCCUGGAGCUAGGGGAGGCCAACAGAUACCCCUUUGCCUCAAUGUUGUAGGUAUGGCCUCUUGGGAACUGUGUAGUAUUUUUUUGUGGGUGAGUGUGAGUGUGUGUGUGU